AUUGAACGCUGGCGGCAGGCCUAACACAUGCAAGUCGAACGAGUGGCGGACGGGUGAGUAAUGUCUGGGAAACUGCCUGAUGGAGGGGGAUAACUACUGGAAACGGUAGCUAAUACCGCAUACCAUCGGAUGUGCCCAGAUGGGAUUAGCUAGUAGGUGGGGUAAAGGCUCACCUAGGCGACGAUCCCUAGCUGGUCUGCGAGGAUAACCAGCCAGACUGGAACUGCGACACGGUCCAGACUCCUACGUGAGGCAGCAGUGGGGAAUAUUGCACAAAGGGCGCAAGCCUGAUGCAGCCAUGCCGCGUGUAUGAAGAAGUCCGUGGGGUUGUAUAGUACUUUCAGCAGGGAGGCGGUACCCGCAGAAGAACCACCGGCUAACUCCGUGCCAGCAGCCGCGGUGAUUC
rnacentral:rRNA from 1 species